CUACGGGACGCUGCAGUCGAGAAUCUUUCGCAAUGGGGGAAACCCUGACGAAGCGACGCCGCGUGAGCGAUGAAGGCCUUCGGGUUGUAAAGCUCUGUCACGUGGGAAGAGAUCCGGAGAUCUAACAGAUCGAAGGUCCGACUGUACCACGAGAGGAAGCCACGGCUAACUCCGUGCCAGCAGCCGCGGUAAUACGGAGGGGGCUAGCGUUGUUCGGAUUCAUUGGGUGUAAAGGGCAUGUAGGUGGCCAUGACAAGUCAGAUGUGAAAUCCCUUGGCUUAACCAAGGAACUGCAUCUGAAACUGCAGAGCUUGAGUGCAGGAGAGGAGAACGGAAUUCCCGGUGUAAGAGUGAAAUCUGUAGAGAUCGGGAGGAACACCAGUGGCGAAGGCGGUUCUCUGGACUGCAACUGACACUGAAAUGCGAAAGCUAGGGGAGCAAACAGGAUUAGAUACCCGGGUAGUC
rnacentral:rRNA from 1 species